rnacentral:rRNA from 1 species
CGGAUGACGCUGGCGGCGUGCCUAACACAUGCAAGUCGAACGGACUUACACAGAAGCAGGAGAUGCUUGCAUUGACUACGGAAGUGUAAGUUAGUGGCGGACGGGUGAGUAACGCGUGGGCAACCUGCCCCAUACCGGGGGAUAACACCUGGAAACAGGUAGCUAAAACCGCAUAAGCGCACAGCUUCGCAUGAAGGUGUGUGAAAACUCCGGUGGUAUGGGAUGGGCCCGCGUCUGAUUAGCUGGUUGGCGGGGUAACGGCCCGACCAAGGCGACGAUCAGUAGCCGGCCUGAGAGGUGGACGGCCACAUUGGGACUGAGACACGGCCCAAACUCCUACGGGAGGCAGCAGUGGGGAAUAUUGGACAAUGGGGGAAACCCUGAUCCAGCGACGCCGCGUGAGUGAAGAAGUAUUUCGGUACGUAAAGCUCUAUCAGCAGGAAAGAAAAUGACGGUACCUGACUAAGAAGCCCCGGCUAACUACGUG